GUUUGGGGAGGGGGACAAUAGCAGGAUAAACCCGAUCCUUGAUGCUGAACCUGUGACUGUUCUUUUUUUUUUUUUUUUAACAUUCGCAUUUGCGACGCCCAGAGAGAGAGAGAGAGAGAGAGAGAGAGAGAGAGAGAGAGAGAGAGAGAGAGG